rnacentral:rRNA from 1 species
GGGGAAUAUUGGACAAUGGGGGCAACCCUGAUCCAGCCAUGCCGCGUGAGUGAUGAAGGCCUUCGGGUUGUAAAGCUCUUUUGGCGGGGACGAUGAUGACGGUACCCGCAGAAUAAGCCCCGGCUAACUUCGUGCCAGCAGCCGCGGUAAGACGAAGGGGGCUAGCGUUGUUCGGAAUUACUGGGCGUAAAGCGAGUGUAGGUGGUUGUCAUAGUCAGGUGUGAAAGCCUUGAGCUCAACUCAAGAAAUGCACUUGAUACUGGGCGACUAGAGGACCGGAGAGGAUAGUGGAAUUCCCAGUGUAGUGGUGAAAUACGUAGAGAUUGGGAAGAACACCAGUGGCGAAGGCGGCUAUCUGGACGGUUACUGACACUAAGACUCGAAAGCGUGGGGAGCAAAC